rnacentral:lncRNA from 1 species
CAAAGAGAGGGCCUUCAUUCCUUGCUUCUUAGAUCCAUGGAUUUGGAUGGAAGAAUAUGGUUCUCCAAGUUCUCAAAAUAGAGAACCUCUAAGUCUCCACACCAAGGUAAGAUUGAUGAAGAAAUGAGUGACCUUGGAGUAGUAGGAUUGCUAGCUACACCCUCCAAGGGGGCCGGCCUCCUAGAGAGAAAAGGAGAGACAUGUUCUCUCCAAUUUUCUUCAAAAGAACCCUUAAUGAAUUUUAGGCUAUAAAGUUCAUUAUAUAGUCACUUCUUUAAAUGACCUAAAGAACCAAAAACCCUAAUUCAACACACAUGGCCGGCCACAUGAGGGAUUUGGGCUUUUGGGCCUUUGUGAAUCUUUAUUCAUUAAAUUGUCAUACAACUUAAGUCAAUGGGCUUGAUGUUCGAAGCCCAUUGGGCCUUAAGGUCCAAAACUAUCCCAAGGUCUUUAACGAACUUAUUCGUUUGAUUAAUUAACAUAUUAAUUAAUCCUUGCCAUAAAUAAUUAAACCAUUUAAUUAUUCUUACUCAUCUCCAUUGUUUCUUCAAUCUCCACCUUACACGGUGUACGAUCCAUUAGGUUCCUUUUAGCGAGGCAGUGGGCGAUUAAAACUCUUUCAAAUCGAUUGUGAAUUGAAACUUACUUUCAAUUCUCCCUUUAGUGAUUAUACACGUUUAGGGCUUCCACAAACCAAGAGUGACACCUAGCAGCAUAUCAUGGUUACCCAAGCUAAUCAGAAGAGGUAGAGAACCUAUUCAGUUUAGGAUUACAAAUGCAAUACGGUCUUUCUCUAAUACAAUACUCUUGACCACAUUGUUUGGUUUGAUAGUUUAUUCAUGUCUACUAUCCAAUGUAAUUCGUGUGCUUAUAUGAUUACCUUGAAUGUGAUUUGGAACGACUUUCCUAAAUCUCAUUCAUACUCUGGCCAGAGAUUCUUAAUCAUAUCAUAGAGUAUUCUCCCCCAAACGGUUUGAAGGUUAGAGAUCCCUUGUUGCGCAUUCACUUGCCUCCAUAGCUAAGUGGCUUAACCCCAACUAUGCCGUGGACACCCUCAUGAUGGAGUGACUUUGACAUAAUCAAAGAUCAAGGACUUAACCACAAGACAACUAUGAUGCCUCAGGUCAAAGGACUACUUUGUAUUAUCCCAACCAUGAGUUCUCAUGUGACAUGAAUAUGAGAACUCUUUGUUGAUCGUGUUCAGUGAACUUAUUCUCUAUUGAGCACCUACGUAUUUGUCUUGAUGUCACACACACCAAUGACUCGAGACUAGUCACUCUCCCUAAGAGAAUACACAACACGUACUGAUCUUAACGGACUGUCAAUGCCCAAUUGGCAAUCCUAUGAUCAGGAACGUUUAGGAUGUGUCUACGAAAGAAUGGUCUCAUGAAUCUAACUUCUUUAGAUUGCAUUCUCCCAAUCACAUAUUCCUUGGACUUAUCGUUUAAGCUUAUAACAUUUAUAUGAGACGGCUCAAACAAUAAUCUUUGCCCUUGAUAUGAAACUAGAUUAGUUUAACAUGUGAAAUGUCCGUAAGGUAUCAUCAUAUGAUUGGUUUUAGGGCACAUUUCCAACAAUCUCCCACUUGCACUAGAGCCAAUCAGCUUGGUCAUCAGUGAUGAUACCUCUUCUGUAGUCAUUUCAUAAAUGGCUGAAUAGUAGGCCUAGACAAUGGAUAUCUAUAUGUUAUCCAUAGAAGCAACCUUGAGAAUAACGACGUCACCAUUAUACAUGAUUCUCAAUCAUGUGGUUCAGUCUCUCAUAUGAGUUCGGACCUUGAUGAGACCUUGAUUCCCUGGCUUGAGCUAUCGCCCCAUUAGUGUCAUAGUGUCAGUACACUAGAUACACUUUCUGGUUGGAACAGAAUAGAAAGUUCAUAAAUGAACUUUCCCAUCCAAACAACAUUGUUGUAAGCUUCUAUAUGGCAAUAUAUUUUGCAUUCAUAAUGGAACACACUAAAGUCAUUACUUUUAAUGUUUCCAUCCAAAUAUCUCUUUAGUCAUAAUAAAGAGAUAUCUGAUUAUCUCUUCAUUCAUAAUGAAGAAACAUCCAAUGAUGGAUUAGAUUCAUAAUCUAAUACAUUUACGCUUCCUUUAAGUUACUCUAAUUCUUCCUCAUUCUUUGAGGAAUCUGUCCUUUAGUAUUUCUUAAAUACUUAAGGACUCACUUGACAGUUGCCAUGGUUCUGAUCCUGGGCUUGCACUGAUAUCGUCUUGUACCGUUCUAGGUACAACUCAUAUCAAUGUUUUUCAUACAGUAUGAAAUACAUAAAUCACCUUUAUGCGUAUGCAUAAAGGAUUCUAUUUACGCAUUAUUUCUUUGGGAGUCAAAGAGUACGUUCUCUUUGAGAAGAGCAACUUCUUAGUCUCACUAGACCUGUCCUUCUAAUUGAAGUUUAUCAUCAUAUGAGAAACUUCCUAGCAUCUAUUGUCUAUUAUUAGGGAUUGAUAUAAUCCAAUUAUAUCAUGAAAUAUAUCAUUAUAGAUUUCCAUCCCAUGUAUAUAGACUAUAUCUCCCAUAUACAUUCUAUCUUCAUAUAAUGUUUCAAAGUCAUAACUUUAAAGAAGAAGUAUUCUUUUCAUUUCCAAAAUUAAUAUAUCAUAUAUAUUUAAAUUUUAGCAACAUGAUUAACUCCCAUAUACAUUCUAUCUUCAUAUAAUGUUUUAAAGUCAUAACUUUAAAGAAGAAGUAUUCUUUUCAUUUCCAAAAUUAAUAUAUCAUAUAUAUUUAAACUUUAGGAACAUGAUUAACUCCCACUAACCUUUUGUAAACCUAGUAAACAAAAGAUUCAUUUACAUCUUUAUGAGAAAUCAAACGAUUUGAUCCUUUUUCUCAUAAGAUGCUUAUAGCUCCCACUAGCUUGCUAAGAUUCAUGAUGGUUGGAUCUCUACAACUUAUAUGUCUUGUGAUUCAUAGUUUUAGACAUAUAUAUUAUCAAGACUAUCUUAAUAAUGGUUUCGGAAACCCAUAUAAUGUCCAAACAUUGAAUCACCAUUUAGUUGUAGCUACCUAUCUUCGAAUUAAUUGAAAAACAAGACUACGUCAAAGAUGGUUUCUUCAAAGUCAACCAUUCUCUUUGAUUGCAGUCACCUUAAGCUACCAAUUAGCUAUGGGGGUUUCAUUAUUUCGGGUCAAAUGGUACUUUACCAUUUCCUUGAGUAUAUAUCAUAUAUACACUCAAUGUAGUCAUAAGGAUUUUCAUUCUUAUUUCUUUCGAAUUAAGAGGUGCAACUCUAUGACAUAGUCAUAAAGUUCAAACCAUUCAACUGAGACGGUUUAUAAAUCCUUCUUGACUACCUUGGAGCUUGUGGUAUAGGAACUAGGUUGUUUAUAUUUGUUGAUUAUCAUCUUGUCUCUCAAAGAACCCAUUCUUUGAGUUCUAUCUCUCAUUCAUUUGCUCUUUAGGCAAAUCACAUUGUAGGAUUAAUGAACUACCCAACAAAACAACAUUUGUUAGUUGGUUUAUAGAAGCGAUAUCCAAAAGUUAAUUUAAGGAUAUCCCACAAGAUUCUUAUCAAACAAAUAUUGCUUAUUAGCACACAACCCCAAAUCUUAACAUGAUUAAGAUUUGUCUUUCUUUCCAACUACAUCCUAUGGAGUCAUGAAAAUUUUUGGAAGAUCUUUUAAUUGACAAUCAUAUUGUCUUAGAAGUAUAUAUCCUAUAUAUGGGUAAUUGAUAAUAUCCAAUGAACUAAAUCUUAUUCAAGUUCGUUCUUCUCCUUAUGGAGAAAUCCAUUAUCAUAUUGAUGCUUCUUUCCUUGAUAUCUUUCAAGAAAACAAUAUCUAAAGUGUUACCAUUCCUUGGAUCAAAUCUAAGGAUGUAAAUACUUUAGACGUCUUACUCAUCAACUUACAUUUCUUGAAUUCUUUGAAACCUUUUGCAAAGUAUUCGGACUUGUGUUUAUUCAAAAUAAACUAUAUAGUCCAACCGAGAGUGAUCUUCGGUGAAUGUCAUACAACAUGAGUAGUAUUAUGUUUGUGGACAAGUGCCACUAACAUCUAAGUGAAUUAACCUUAACAACUUUGUGAUUCUUUCUUCUUUCCAAAAGAAUAAAGAUUCGAACAUUUUCGCCUCGCCUCCAAUUUCAACAAGAAGGUAUUGGAUCCUGAAUAUAACGAUCCAAAGCAUCCAUCAAUGACCAACUCGUAAUUUAUGUUUUAGAGGUAUCAACAACUCAGUUGGGAUUAGUCACUACCUUGCAACCUUUUGGGUUUUAAGCAUCAUUAUAUUCUAAACAGUUAACACCACACCAUAUAUCAUCAUCUCUACUAUAUAGAGACAAUCAAUUAGAUUACUAUAAUCCAAUCAUUGAUUAAUAAAGAACAAUGUUUUUGUCAAACAAAACAUUCAUCCAUCUCUAUAGUGACGAAAUUAAAUUCCUUAAAAUUGGAAUGUAAUUAAGACAAUCUUUGGGUUUUCCAAUUUCUUAUUCAUGAGGAAGUAAGUUAUAUCUGCUUUCGCAGAGAUCUAUUUUUAUUCACGUUCCGAAUGUGAAGUACCUUUUCUUCUCUUCUUCUACUUUUUAUUAGUCACACUUUUGAUUGUAAAACAUAGUUUCUAAUACGGAAUCAAGCAUUCAAGUAGAAGAACAACUGUUUUGAACUUGAACUAUUCAAGAACAACAACACCUUCGAAAUGUUGUUUCUUCACUUGUAAGACAUUUCUUGCAAAUACCCCCUUCCAAUGUCCAUCAUUUCAUAAAGAAAGUUUGUUCCCUUUUGGAGUUAUUUUUUAUCUUCUUUAUUUGACUUUCAUUUUGACUUUACAUUAUCAUGUCUAAAUCCCACUUAUUCUCUUGAUUAUAUGUUUCAAAAUUGUGUUUACACAUCAAACAUUUUGGGUAUAGUUUUUAUUGUUCUAGUUUCAUAAAGUGUUUACAAAUAACUUUGUGAACCAUUUAGUUUCCGUUCGUUAAGUGGUUUAAGUGGUCACUUCAACACUCAAUGAUUCAAAAAUCAUCAUAAGUCCAUGUUGAUGGACUAUUUUUGUCAACCAACCAUUAUGUUCUAAACAUAAUUACAAACCUUCAAGAGUUGUACAAGGCAACUCUCAUUUUUCAUACAACAAUUUGUAAGUGAAGAAUCAUGGCACAUUAAGUGUCCAUGCCUUUGUGCUUUCUUCUAAAGUUCCUUGUUCAUGUAACAAAGAAACAAGCACUAAUGUUUGCAUUGAUUAAGGGUUGUUCAAAGCAACUCUUAUUUCUUCAUACAACAAAUUGUAAUUGAAGAAUUAUGACAUUAAAAGUGUUGUCCUCUUUAUGAUAGACUUUAUCUAACAUGUUCUUCCAAUGAUACAUUAUCAAUAGGAAGAUUGUGAGGAUGAGACUACUUAGGUACUUCUACAAUCCAUUUAAGACAAUCUUUGGGAUUGUUGUACCAAGUCCGGAAACUAAAGCAUUCGGUUUUUCUUUGUCAAGUUUUGGAUAACGUUUGCAAAUAUAUUGGUAAACAAAUACAUAACGAAUAUAAAUUGAUUGAUUUUAAGCCAUUUGAUUCGGGUCUUUAAAUCAAAUACCACCACCCACUAUUUUUGGCAAAUUCCAUAUCCCUCAUUGGAAUUCGAGAGUUUUGGAUGAAACUCUUAGUAGGGUAUGGGAGACUCACUACUACCAAGCCCACCUCACAAUGAUAUGAUGUUGGCUAGCAUUAAUAAUAAUGAGAGAGUACGCUUACUCAUUUGCAUCACUUGCAAGUACCCAUCUUAUUUGGCCUCUAGAGAAUGUCACCUCACAAUGAUAUGAUGUUGGCUCCAUUAGUUUGUGAAGGGUUCAAGAAUAGCCUCACAAUGAUAUGAUGUUGGCCAUCCUCGUUGCCUACACUCACCUCAUCAAGUAUGUAUAUAGACUCCUCCUGAGUAUAAGCAUGCACUUUGCACUCCCCCAUGAUAGGGUGAAGGCGGUGUACAAGUCAUAAACGAUUGGAGCUACCAUGGUGGAAGGCCACGAAAGAGUGUUCAAAGCACUCUCACGCUUAUCAACUUAAUAAUGGUUUGGUUGAGGGUUUUAGGUCUCAUCUCAUAUAAACAUACAUUUUAAUCUUAUUAAAACAAUUUUGGUCCUAUUACAACUAUUGGUCCAUUUGAUUGUUUUAGUUGUAUAUAAUACUCCCACUAUGCUUAUAAAACGGUUUUUAAAGCAAGAGUAUAUGAUAGUACUAACAUAAGGUUUGCAUUCAUUGAUGGACUAUAUAGUUGCCUUAGGGCCUUAGGAUGAUUAUGAACCUUUUAAUUAGAUCCAACACGAGCUGUGUUGAAUCUCGGUCUAGGGAUGGUGAUUGAUUUUAGUUACGCGUUUAAUCACAUUAAGGCGUGUUGUCUUAGGGGCGUUGGACCCAACUACUUCAUUUUCAUGCAUAUCAAAUAAAGCAAGAAAGAAGUACUUCAAAGUAAAGGUGAGCUUAUGCUCAUUACAACAUUUGCAUAAAUCGAAUUACUUUGAAAUAAAGAAGAGCUUAUGCUCUUUUACAACAUUUGAUCAAAUCAAAUUACAACCAAAAUCUAAUCUACACAUUCUCAUGGUUCAAACAAAUUUGAAACGGCCUUUCACAUAGCUCAAUUAUCGUAGGCUUAGGUUCAUAAUCACCCUUUAAUUAAUUAACACUUUAACUAAUUAAAUUGAAUGCAACAUUUUCAUUUGGUUUUUUGUAUCCAUAAAAUUGAUUUAAAUGGAGCUAAAUGAAAUGAAAAUCCAAUUCUCAUUUAAAGAGACAAAACAAUUUUGUUCUCUACUUAAUUUGGGCCAAUAUGCAAUUACCACAACCUUUGGGCUAUAUUGCAAAAACAUAAACUUUUGGGGUCACUUUGUAAAAACACAAAAGUCCACUACUUCAUGUAAUUACAACUAGAACACAAAAAUUAAACAAUGCAAAAACUUCAUUAAAGGAGCAAAACAAUUUGUCCUUUAGCGUUUUUGGACCUAAACGUAAAAACGUAAACUUUUGGGCCAAAGUGCAAAUACACAAAAGUAUCAAAACUUUAUGUAAUUGCAUAAAAGCCCCAAAAGUACUCCCACUUGAGGGAGGGCCGGUUUUGGAGAAGGAUUAGAGUGAUGUGUGUGUUGAUUUGUGAGUUUUGACAUAAAGCAUGCAAGUGGUGCAUGACAUAAAUGUCAUGCAAGUGGUGUGUGUGAAAGGAAAUUAAUCCUUACACACCCACCAAUAUUUCUUACACCAUUUUAAACAAAUAUCUAACACAUUAAAUCAUUUGAAAAACAUAAAACAUAAACUUUAUGAAAUAAAUCAAAACUUUGAAUCAAAACACAAAACUUUUUGUUCUUGGCAAAAAUGUCAAGAACAAUGAAGAACAUUCAUGAAAAACCCAAAAAAUUUCCAUGAACAUUUUUUACUCCAAAAACAUCCCAAAACCAUUCAAACUUAAGGGAAAUAACAUAUAACCAAACUAGGGUACAUAGGGGUUCCAAAAGUUACUUGAAAACACUUUUAACAAGUCAAACAAGAACCCAAAAAUCCACCCUUUGGAUUUGGCCGAAAAUUCCCAAAAACAUGGCACCAAAUUUUAGAUCCAAUAUUCAUGCUCAUAAGAACUACAUCUACAACAUUUGAGAUGGCAAAUUUUCUAACAAAAUUUACAUUCAAAGAAACAAGAAUAAAGCUUGUAACAUAUUACAACUUUUAAAUCACAAACUAUGAACCACAAAAACCCAAAAAGGAUUCACCAACUACUAGACCUAGGCUCUGAUACCACUUGAAGGAUUAUUUUGUGAAAAACAUGUUCAUUUGAAUAACAUAGCAUGCAUUUAACAAUUAAAAAGCGGAAUCAUGCUUGCAUGCAUUCAAAAACAAAACAUUACCCAUGAAAUUCAAAGCCUAGUAGAUUGGUGAACCAAGACUCAACUCAAAUCAAAGUGAGUUGAGAAAUAUAUACCUUUGUAGAUUCCUCUUUGCAUAAGCAAAGGCUAAUCACCCAAAGAGAGGGCCUUCAUUCCUUGCUUCUUAGAUCCAUGGAUUUGGAUGGAAGAAUAUGGUUCUCCAAGUUCUCAAAAUAGAGAACCUCUAAGUCUCCACACCAAGGUAAGAUUGAUGAAGAAAUGAGUGACCUUGGAGUAGUAGGAUUGCUAGCUACACCCUCCAAGGGGGCCGGCCUCCUAGAGAGAAAAGGAGAGACAUGUUCUCUCCAAUUUUCUCCAAAAGAACCCUUAAUGAAUUUUUAGGCUAUAAAGUUCUUUAUAUAGUCACUUCUUUAAAUGACCUAAAGAACCAAAAACCCUAAUUCAACACACAUGCCCGGCCACAUAAGGGAUUUGGGCUUUUGGGCCUUUGUGAAUCUUUAUUCAUUAAAUUGUCAUACAACUUAAGUCAAUGAGCUUGACGUUCGAAGCCCAUUGGGCCAUAAGGUCCAAAACUAUCUCGAGGUCUUUAACGAACUUAUUCGUUUG